AUUGAACGCUGGCGGCAGGCCUAACACAUGCAAGUCGAACGAGUGGCGGACGGGUGAGUAAUGUCUGGGAAACUGCCUGAUGGAGGGGGAUAACUACUGGAAACGGUAGCUAAUACCGCAUACCAUCAGAUGUGCCCCGAUGGGAUGAGCUUGUAGGUGGGGUAACGGCUCACCAAGGCGACGAUCGCUAGCUGGUCUGAGAGGAUGACCAGCAACACUGGGACUGAGACACGGCCCAGACUCCUACGGGAGGCAGCAGUGGGGAAUAGUGCACAAUGGGCGCAAGCCGGAUGCAGCCAUGCCGCGUGUAUGAAGAAGGCCUUCGGGUUGUAAAGUACUUUCAGCGGGGAGGCGUUACCCGCAGAAGAAGCACCGGCUAACUCCGUGCCAGCAGCCGAGGUAAUAC
rnacentral:rRNA from 1 species